UACGUAGGGGGCUAGCGUUGUCCGGAAUCAUUGGGCGUAAAGCGCGUGUAGGCGGUCCGGUAAGUCCGCUGUGAAAGUCGGGGGCUCAACCCUCGAAUGCCGGUGGAUACUGUCGGGCUAGAGUGCGGAAGAGGCGAGUGGAAUUCCUAGUGUAGCGGUGAAAUGCGCAGAUAUCAGGAGGAACACCAAUUGCGAAGGCAGCUCGCUGGGACGUAACUGACGCUGAGACGCGAAAGCGUGGGGAGCAAACAGG
rnacentral:rRNA from 1 species